CUCCCGUCCCCAACGCCCUCCGCCCUCAGGGCCCUGGCGUCCCGGCCCCGCGCUCACAGGACACGUUGAGCCUGAUGGUUCUGUCUGUGCUCACGCCAGCUCCGGGGAAGUUCACUCGACAGGAUUGAGAGGAAGCCCCCACAGGAAGCCCAGAGCUGUGGUCAGAAGGUAACCGACCACAAAAGAGGAACUCCGCACCCACAUGCUGCCGGAGCUGCGUGGACCUUGGAGAGUCACCACUUCUACUUUCCAUGUGAGGCCCUGGUGAGGGUCACGAGCAGCGAAUACAGCCCAAAGGCGUCUCCUGGAUCCCUGUCCACAGCCUGUCCCUCCCACACCUCUGUCCGCAGGAAAUCAGGCCGGUCAGUCCCCGCCAGGGUGAAAGAGGUGGUGAUUAGUUACUGGAAUUGUAACAGGGAAGAGUCAAUCCUGACUCCAUGUUGGAUCUGUUUCUUCUACUUUAACCUUUGCUUUCCACUGCUUUUGUUCAUUAAAAGGAUACUGUCUCUACAUAAUGGCCUGCCUUGGGGAGCCCUGCCCCUCUGCCUGAAGGUUAAAACAAAGUGGCCUCGUUCAGGGAAACAUCUGGACGCCGUUCCACCCGUGGAUGGCUGCAAGGAAGAAGAAAUGAACGCAUUCCCUCCCCGAGGCUGGCCAUUCCAGGAGAUGUUUGCAAAGCUUGUGGCCUUUUCACUUUACUUCCUCAUCUCCUCUCCCUCUCUGUGCUGUAAAAGAAAUUGGCAUCCAAACCCCAGUCAAAAGGUUCUUCAGAGACACUAGUCUGCUGUCUUCUAGGUCUGCCAGCUUUCCGAAUAAAGUUGUCAUUCCUUCCCUCAACACCUCAUCUCCAAUUCAUGCGCCCGUUGUGAGGCGAGCAGAGCAAGCUUGGACUUGGGAACAAAAUGAACACGACAACGGCACAGGGGCACCUCUCCUUUCAGGGGAGUGGAGCACAAGGCAAGAAUGCGGCAGACGUUGUCUCCACCCUUGAGAACUUCUCCAACGCCCCAGCUCCUGCUGAUACAGUGUGAGAUAGGGGCAGCCCAGAUAGAGGCUUGGAGGAAACCCCAUCGCUCCAUGCAGCUAGAAGGCGAGUUCCCAGGUAUACAUGGACGGAGAGGAUGAGACCAGGAUCCAGGAGGGUGGCCACCAGGACAUGAUCCCACAGGGGGUCCUGAGGCUUCCUGACCUGCUCACGGCCCCCUGCCCCAGGCCUCCCUGCACAUGCCAGGCUUGGGAGCCGGGCACUGGGAGCAAAAUGGCAGCCAGCGUGACCCUGGGGGGAUGCCAGUUUUUGGAGGUAGGUGGGCCCUGCCCUUCUCCCUUCCAGGCCUCAGUUUUCUCAUCUGUCACAUGGAAGGAUCACAAUGUUCAACCCUCGUCUGUGGGAGAAUCUGAUACAAGGACAGAGGCGGGCGUUUUCUACAGACUCUUCUGUGGCUGUCUUGCAGGUCAGGUGUCUGGCCCUGCUCAUCCCUCAGGGGUCACUCUGAGUCCCACCCUCAGUGGUGGUCAGCGCUUCCCUGGGGCUUCCUCCCCUGAGGGCUUUCAUGCGGGGCUCAGGGGCACAGGCUCUGCAGCAGAUGGCUCUAGGCUUGCGCUUGUUUCCCUAAUCCUUGCUGUGCCACCUUGGGGAGGCGCUUAACCACUCUGUGCAGAGGUGUGCCUAUGCUCGCACGGCGUUGGAAGCUGAAUUGUGUCACCCCCCAGAUUCCUAUGUGCAUGUCCUAACCCCCAGUACCUCUAAGUGUGACUGCAUUUGGAGACAAGGCCUUUAAAGAGGUAAUUAAUAUAAAGUCAGGUCAUUGGGCUGGGCCUUAAUCUAAUAGGACUGCUGUCCUUGUAAGAAAGAGAGAUUAGGACACAGACACAUACUGAGGGAAGACCACGUGAAGAUACAGGGAGAAGAUGGCCAUCUACAAGCCAAGGAGAGAGGCCUCAGAAGGAUGUCUAUAUAGGUGUGACUGAAUCACUUUGCUGUACAGCAGAAAUUAGCACAACAUUGUAAAGCAAUGUUUUGUAAAGCAAAAUUUAAAAAAUUUAAAAUAAUAAUACUAAGAAGCCAGCCCUGCUGACACUUUGAUCUCAGACUUCCAGCCUCCUGAUCUGUGAGAAAAUGAAUUUCUGUUGCUCAAGCCGCCCAGUCGGCCGUACUUCCUUACGGCAGCCCUAGCAGGUGAACCCACGGGGUCACCCCGAAGAUUCGACGUGUUCCUACAAGUGGAGGGCUCAGAGCAGCCUAGAGCAGCCCAAACUGACGCAGCCCACACAGUGGCCAGUGGUCAGCCUGCAGGAUGGGGCCACUCCAAGGACAGGAGGAGAAAAGGGAAUGAAAGAGGUGGUAACCCGAGGACACCUCGGCUCCUCCUCCUGGUCUCAGAGUGGCGGCAGGGAGUGGUGGCGUGAGGCGAGAUCUUAAUUCCCUGCCCAGGAAUUGAACCUGGGAAGCCUGGAUGAAAACCAGGAAUCCCAGCCACCACACCCCCUGGCCCUUGCCCCCAGUGAAAAAUGCAUCUCUCACGGAGGCAAAACUGGAAAAACAGGACCCUCAACAGCAUGCGUGCGCAGCUUUUUUCCAAGAUGGAUUCCAGCCCAGAGGUCUAUGGGACGGCCUUAGCCUCACAUGUUAUGGGGUGGCGCCCCCUCCUUUUGGACCCCAAGGAGCCUUUCUGCGCAUGUGCAAUGUCUCCCUUGCCCCAAGGAUGGGAAAUGCAUGGCCUCGUGAUCUUUUAACAGGGUUUGUCCCACUCUGUUCCUGCCAUAAAAAUGUCCAAUGUCUGGUUAUUUACCCUAUUACUUCUGUCGCUGGUUUUUAUAUCGAGGUGCAGAUCUCGAAAGAUAGACAGGAGUCCGGUCAUAAAUAUGGAGUCCUGGAGCCUGUUUGUCUCUUGCUUCAGGAAAUGUAAACAGGGGGCUGGGAAUGAAUGUCCGGCCUGGAGCCCAUCUUCUUCUCACCCCAGGAAGUGUAAACAAGAGGCCAGUUGUAAAUGUCUAGCCUGGAGCCCAUCUAUCUCCUGCCUCACUCCGCGCACCGGCUCUGAUCUCUACUCGCUCUUACUUCACUCUGGCCACACUUCCGCUCCCCUCCCCAGGCCAGGACGUGCUGAACAGGCCGCUGUUCGGGCAGGUCCCUCCACUGGCUGAGCUGGUGGCCGCUCCUGCACCCUGGGUGCCUGUCUCCCAUCUGUUGAGCAGAGUGUCCUGUGGGGUUGGGCUAAGGCGAGGCCACCACUGGAGCAGAACCAGCCAGGGUCAGGAAGGGGGAUGGAGACACCAUCACAGUGGGGCGUGGCCUGGGCUGAUGCAGCGGGGAGGACGGGGCUGCGGGAGCCGCGAGGAGGGAGGAGGGCGUAACGCGGAUGAUGGGACAGGUGAGCGCAUUCCUGACACUAUGAUGAUAACCCUUGACUGUUUCUGAGUCAGGGCUUGGGAAACGGUGGGUGUGAGUGUUCAUCCCCGUUUGGCUGUAGGAACUGGGAUGCCCUGACUCUGCAUUGUUUUUCCAGUCCUGGGGUCCUAAAGCAACCUGCCUUCUUCUUACCACUUUCCAGAAUUCUCCUUUGGUUGUGUCUUGCACCAUUCGCAGGGUUUAUCGUUGUGAACAGAGGGAGAAGCAGGGAACGAUGGGCCGAUGUCAUCUUGCCUGGAUUGGCAGGCUAACCAUCGACCUUUAAUGUGUUGGGUCGCAUCACGCAGGCUGACGUCAUCAUAAACGGAAGUCUGACCUAACUGUGCUGUCUGGGUGGAGGCGCCGGGUUUGGGCGCCAGGCCUUUUCUUACACCACACCAGAAUCUUUCAUCUGUUCAAGUGUCACUUUAGAAACUGGGGCGUCAUGCAUGGUCCCUGCCAUGGUUUUGGUGCUGCUGGUAUAUUUGGGGCUGUUUUUGUUUCAACUGAUUUGCAGUAAAAUUAGAGUGUUAGGCUUUGUAGGAGGACGUUUCCAAGCUCUCGCUUCCCUCUACCUUCUCGACCCAGACUAUAAUUUUGAACUCACUUUGAAGGAUAAGAAGGUGUUAGCCAGAUGACUUCAUGGGGCUGGGUCUUCCUGGAAGGAGAGAUGCAGGUGCUCAAAGACAGUGAGGGAUGCAUCAGAAUGGGUUCUUAGAGAAUGACUUGAGGGAUAGGUGGUUUGGGGUACGGUGAUGGAGAAGCAGAUUGGGUGAGACUAAGAAUAACCUAGAACCUACAACCCUGGGGCUGCCUGUUUUUGUGAAUAAAAUUUUGUUGGCCCACAGCCACAUUAAUUCGUUUGCAAAUGGUCUACGGUUGCUUUUGCACUACAGUUGAAUAGUUGCAACGGAGACCCUAUGGCUUGAAAAGCCUAAAUACUUACUAUCUGGCCCUUUAGCAGAAAGGUCUCCUGACCCCUGACCUAAAACGUCAGGUUGAGAAGCUUGUAAAUUAUUCUUUGGGCUUGAGGAGAGAGCGGUAUUUUGGCUGUGGUCAGCUCUAAGAUUUAGGAAAUUCUCUAAAUGUUAUUACUUGAUUUUGGCUAUAGCAGGACUAGUAGAAGACAGGGAGGGGGGAAAGGGAAGAUUCAGGAAUGGCAAGAGAUGGUGCUGGAGGUCCAGUCAAGGAAGGGAUCCAUGGGAGGGUUUUGAGUAGACAGUGAGACUGACAUGUAGCCGAUGUGGUGCCCGGGACAGGACACACCCAGCCUCUGGGUGAAAUGUGCAAACAAACAAACAAAAUGUUGCCUGCGGUUCAGUAAACAAAGGAUGUUGUCCGCCAUUAAACAGUCAACCACCGCGGUCUCCCCCGAAGGUGUGCCCUGAGGGGAUUCAGGACGAGAAAAGCACGAUCCUGGCCCUAGGUUGUUAAGGCGCAUCUAAGGACUAAUUUCCAAUCAGCUCAGACUGUGCAUCCUCCCAUACACAGAAAAGCUCUGAAAGCUCCAACGUCAUUACUCUGAUCGUCUGAUGUUUGUGGUUGGACAUCUUUUGAUGUUCGACUACAUGUUUGUUUGUUUUCAGCAAAAACACCUUUAUAUCCUGGCUCCUCCCUGACCUCUUUGGAGCAGCUCCUCAGAGCUAUGGGAGAGGCUCUCUCCCAGGCUAUAGUCCUCAGUAAGGUCCCCAAAUAAAACAUAACGUGCAACUUUUAGGUUGUGUGCUUUUUCUCAGUGGACAAAGGUCACAAUGUAUGAAGACUUCUGUUGCAUAUUUGGUACUUUCGUUUAAUCCUCACAACAACCUUGUGAUGCUGGACCUCUCACAUCCAUUUCACCAAAGCAGAAAACCAAGACAUGGCGGGGUUAGGUGCCUCGCAUGAUAUCAUACUCUUACUGAAUGAGAAAGCGUGGGUUUGAUGCCAGGUGUCUCUGAAUGCAAAGCCUAAGAUAGUUCCAAUAGAGCAGGAAAGUCACUGACAGCAGUUCAUAAACCCAUCACCUACGGGGAUGUUAAGUCCCUAAGGAUUAGCCUGUGGGUCCGCCUUCCUGUAGAGGAAAUGGACGUCCUGCCUGAGGCUGAUACCGCGUGCGGUCCCUCACUUGGUCCUGAUCUCCGUGUAUUCUGAGUGGGGGCUCUCCUGAGGGUGACGCAUCCCAUGGAAGCUGAGGGAGGCGUAAUGCAGCUCUUCCUCCAUCCCCGAGGUGGGGGUGGCCCCUGCCGAGCUGGUGGGGUCAGGAGGAUCCUCUAACUUGGACUCUCGCUGGUGAUCCUGGAUGGAGAGCAAAGGAAGGGGUCAGAUCAAGGUAGUUUUGGGGGGAGAAGGGAGAGAGGGUCCAGGAAGUGAAUUUGACUCUGGGACAGAGCAUCUAUUCGUUCUUCCAUUCUGCUACCAAACGUUUCUGAAGGUUCCAUUUAUUCAGUCAUCCAACAAAUAUAACGCUAUAGAUUGUUUUCCAGUUCUACUGAGCACCCACACAGACCUAUGGAGGAAAUAUUACUACGUUACAGGGAGAGAAACGAAGUCUCAGAGAGGGUAGGUUCCUCCCAAGGUCACACAUCUAUUGAUCACAAACUCAACUCCUGGCCCUCUGAGGUUUCCUGAGGUUUUCCGUAAACAGGAGGGUGUUUAUGGAAACUCACUUCUCCUGUGUGUCUCUCCUUUACUCUCGCACCAUUAUCACACUCACAACACUUCUGUCACCAGAUGCGUGGGUUCUUUGGACCCCCACACCAAGGAAUUCUCCCACACCAGCUGGGUGUCCUGCAAUGUAACUCAGUUCUGAUACUAUCUGCCUGGAGAUAGUGUCAGAUCCCACAGGUUGAGGGCUCAGUCCCAUGAGACUGCCUCCCCCCCACUUCAGGUGUCAAUCACAAGUCCAGGUUGUCACCUGUGCUUCUGACCAACUGGCUAUAAAUCAGAAGUUCCUAUGACCUCCUCCUCAGGUUUGAGUAAUUUGCUGGAGUUGCUCACAAAACUCAGGAAAACCGUUUACUUACUAGAUUACUAGUUUAUUAUAAAAGGAUAUAGCUUAGGAAGGCGUGAAAAGUCCGAUGAAGAAAUACACAGGGCAAGGUAUGUGGGAAGGGGUGCAGGGUUUCCAUCCCCUCUCAAGACACAUCACUCUCCCAGCACCUCCACUUGUGCACCAGCCAGAAGCUCCCUGUGCCCCAUACUAUUGGGAUUUUUAUGGCGGCUUCGUCAUGAUUAAGCGAUGCGUCUCUCCAAUGCAUCAGCUUGUCCCAACCUCUGAGCCCAGCACUUGUGGCUCCCUCUGUCUAGAGCCCUUCAACAACUCUCUUUCAGGGGCUCACACUGUGUUCCUUCACUUCCUGCAGGGGUUUUCUCAAAGACUCCCACCCCCAGAACUGUCCCUCCCAUUGCGUUUCCCUCCAUAGCUCUCAUUUCCUGUAUACUUUCACUACUCACCUGUUCAUUGCUUUCACCACAACCGCCCCACUCCCCUCAAUAAAUGUAAGUCCUUGACAGCAAGGGACAUUUUCCACUUGUAACAUAUGUCUCUGUAAAAAUACAGAGAUUACCCAAGUGCUCAGAACAAUCAACAAGUGGGAGAUAGUUGCUGAAGGAAUAAGUGAAUGCAUGGGUGAUGGAUUCGCUCAGAGACCUCAGUGAUGGCCACAUUAGUCAUAGGUCAAGAAAUAAAUGAAAGUCAGGGAUCAGAGGAUGAGCAUGAGUAGGGCUGGUUGAUACGGACACGGGAGGAGAAGGGGGCAGACGGGCAAUGAUUCUGAGGGGCAAAAAGCUUACUUUGCUUGAGCAAGCCUGUUUGGAAGAAGUGCAGCGUUAAAGCUGACUCUGGUUUUCCUGCCCGAAAUGUCAAUCAAGUUGUUUGGCAGUGUGGAGAAACAGUGCAUUUCAGACUUGGGCAGGAUGGGACGACUGUCUAAUACAGAUGCAGGCAGUGCAGAUGCAGUCAAUGCAGGUGCAGGUAAUGCAGAUGCAGGUAAUACAGAUGCAGGCAAUGCAGGUGCAGGCAAUGCAGGUGCAGGUAAUGCAGGUGCAGGCAAUGCAGGUGCAGGUAAUGCAG